AUUGAACGCUGGCGGCAGGCCUAACACAUGCAAGUCGAGCGGAUGAAGGGAGCUUGCUCCUGGAUUCAGCGGCGGACGGGUGAGUAAUGCCUAGGAAUCUGCCUGGUAGUGGGGGAUAACGUCCGGAAACGGGCGCUAAUACCGCAUACGUCCUGAGGGAGAAAGUGGGGGAUCUUCGGACCUCACGCUAUCAGAUGAGCCUAGGUCGGAUUAGCUAGUUGGUGGGGUAAAGGCCUACCAAGGCGACGAUCCGUAACUGGUCUGAGAGGAUGAUCAGUCAAACCGGGACCUGGGACACGGCCCGGCUCCCUAGGGAGGGCACAGGUGGGGAUAUUGGACCAUUGGGCGAAGCCCUGUCCCACCCUGCCGGGGUGGGUGAGAAGGGUCUUCGGUUGGUAAGCACUUUUAGUUUGGAGGAAGGGCAGUAAGGUAAAUCCUUGCUUGUUUGACGGUACCCACAGAAUUAGCAACCGCUAACCUCGGU
rnacentral:rRNA from 1 species